rnacentral:rRNA from 1 species
CGAAUACAAGUCUUACACGAUGUCUCAAUAAGUCGUAACAAGGUACCGACGUAGAGUUGAAUCAUGGCUCAGGACGAACGCUGGCGGCGUGCUUAACACAUGCAAGUCGAACGAUGAUGCCCAGCUUGCUGGGUGGAUUAGUGGCGAACGGGUGAGUAACACGUGAGUAACCUGCCCCUGACUCUGGGAUAAGCGUUGGAAACGACGUCUAAUACUGGAUACGACUGCCGGCCGCAUGGUCUGGUGGUGGAAAGAUUUUUUGGUUGGGGAUGGACUCGCGGCCUAUCAGCUUGUUGGUGAGGUAAUGGCUCACCAAGGCGACGACGGGUAGCCGGCCUGAGAGGGUGACCGGCCACACUGGGACUGAGACACGGCCCAGACUCCUACGGGAGGCAGCAGUGGGGAAUAUUGCACAAUGGGCGAAAGCCUGAUGCAGCAACGCCGCGUGAGGGAUGACGGCCUUCGGGUUGUAAACCUCUUUUAGUAGGGAAGAAGCGAAAGUGACGGUACCUGCAGAAAAAGCACCGGCUAACUACGUGCCAGCAGCCGCGGUAAUACGUAGGGUGCAAGCGUUGUCCGGAAUUAUUGGGCGUAAAGAGCUCGUAGGCGGUUUGUCGCGUCUGCUGUGAAAUCCCGAGGCUCAACCUCGGGCUUGCAGUGGGUACGGGCAGACUAGAGUGCGGUAGGGGAGAUUGGAAUUCCUGGUGUAGCGGUGGAAUGCGCAGAUAUCAGGAGGAACACCGAUGGCGAAGGCAGAUCUCUGGGCCGUAACUGACGCUGAGGAGCGAAAGCGUGGGGAGCGAACAGGAUUAGAUACCCUGGUAGUCCACGCCGUAAACGUUGGGCGCUAGAUGUAGGGACCUUUCCACGGUUUCUGUGUCGUAGCUAACCGCAUUAAGCGCCCCCCGCCC